GGGUAUAGCUUAGUGGUAGAGUGCAUGCCUAGCAUGCAUGAGGUCCUGGGCUCAAUCCCCACUACCUCCA
rnacentral:tRNA from 1 species